rnacentral:rRNA from 1 species
AGAACGAACGCUGGCGGCAGGCUUAACACAUGUAAGUCGAACGCCCUCUUCGGAGGGAGUGGCAGACGGGUGAGUAACGCGUGGGAACGUACCCUUCAGUUCGGAAUAACUCAGGGAAACUUGAGCUAAUACCGGAUACGUCCGUAAGGAGAAAGAUUUAUCGCUGAAGGAUCGGCCCGCGUCGGAUUAGCUAGUUGGUGGGGUAAUGGCCCACCAAGGCAACGAUCCGUAGCUGGUCUGAGAGGAUGAUCAGCCACACUGGGACUGAGACACGGCCCAGACUCCUACGGGAGGCAGCAGUGGGGAAUAUUGGACAAUGGGCGAAAGCCUGAUCCAGCCAUGUCGCGUGAGUGAAGAAGGCCUUAGGGUUGUAAAGCUCUUUCAGUGGGGAAGAUAAUGACGGUACCCACAGAAGAAGCCCCGGCUAACUUCGUGCCAGCAGCCGC